rnacentral:SRP_RNA from 1 species
GCCGGGGGACUCUCGGGCCGGAACGUCUCGAACCGGGUCAGAAUCGGAAGAUGGCAGCCCUAAGAACGCACUCCGGUGCCGUGAACCCCCUCCGGC